AGGCAGCAGUGGGGAAUAUUGCACAAUGGGGGAAACCCUGAUGCAGCCAUGCCGCGUGUGUGAAGAAGGGCCUUACGGGGUUGUUAAAGCACUUUCAGUAGGGAGGAAGGUAGUGUAGUUAACACCUGCAUUAUUUGACGUUACCUACAGAAGAAGCACCGGCUAACUCCGUGCCAGCAGCCGCGGUAAUACGGAGGGUGCGAGCGUUAAUCGGAAUUACUGGGCGUAAAGCGCAUGCAGGCGGCCUGUUAAGUCAGAUGUGAAAGCCCCGGGGCUUAACCUCGGAAUUGCAUUUUGAAACUGGCAGGCUAGAGUCUUGUAGAGGGGGGUAGGAAUUUCAGGUGUAGCGGUGAAAUGCGUAGAGAUCUGAAGGAAUACCAGUGGCGAAGGCGGCCCCCCUGGACAAAGACUGACGCUCAGAUGCGAAAGCGUGGGGAGCAAACAGGAUUAGAUACCCUGGUAG
rnacentral:rRNA from 1 species